UCUAUUUUUGGCUCUAAUAGUAACUGAUAAAGUGCUUCUGCUAUUGAUAUUUGUCGUAAUUUUAGUUUAGUCUGCUCUAUGUUGAUUCUUUGCUCAUCAUUCAUUUUCAUUUCUCAUCUUUGAUAUCUACUUAUAAUAUUAUUAUGUUGUUAAUAUAGAGUUAGUAUGAGGAAUCGAAAGUAUUACCAUAUCAUGGAAUAUAUAUGAUUACCCUAAGGCAUUUGGAGAACACAUCAACAUAGUUUGUUCUUUUAAUUUUGGCAUUUAGUUUUGAAGUUCGUUGAUUAGUCAUUCCCAAAAAAGCUAGAAUAUGAACAUGCUGCAGAGUAAAUGUAGCAUAUAAAAAAUGAUUGCAUUUUGUACUCUAUGAUCUCUAUUGGGUUUGUGAACUGGGGUUGCCCCAAUGGUUACACCCAUCUGCUUAGCAACAAGAGGUUCUGGGUUUGAUUCUUGGGUGGUGCAUCACAAAAAUCUGGACUUGGGUAAUUAAGUGGGGUUGGGUCUGGGGGGGCAUCCCAAAAAUAUGGACUUGGGUAAUUAAGUGUGGUUGGGUCUCCCUUCGUCUCAGAAAUCUGUAUUGGGUUUGUAAAGGUGCAUGUUUGAAUUCCCUUUAAAAAGGGUGAAGUUUUAAAAAUAGUGAGCUUAAAAUUGUCUUCAUUCUCUGUUUGCUGCAUAGAUUUUUUCCCCCUUUGAUCUACUUCUAAUGCAGUUCCAUAUGAUGUAGGUCUUAUCACCUGAAAUGAGUUUGGCCACGGUCAGAACUUACAUAUGGAAGAAGCCUGAAGAUUUGGUGCUCAAUUACAGAGUGGUGCAGACCAGAUGAUUAUGGACAUCGGUUUCAGAAAGAUGGACUUGCAAUUCAUACAUGGAGACUAUAGGUACUUCCGGGCAAUAUCAAAAUACGGACUCUCUUUAAGUUCCUGCGGGCAAUCCCUGGAUGUCAUCCAUAAACUAGCAGAAGAGUGACGGGCAUCCAACACUCGCUUAAUUGCUUCUUCUUCAUGCCAUUUUCGUCGGUUUACUUGCACUUGGCUGGCAAAGGCAACAAUGACAUGGCCAUGGGGAUGGGGGCCAAAGGCGGAUAAUUUCUACGGUCUUCAAAAUAGUUGUUUUCUUUGUAAUAUUUCUUGCCAUUUAGCAUCACUGAAUUUCUCUGUUUAUGAAUUUAUAGUCAUCAUUCCUCCUA